rnacentral:rRNA from 1 species
UACGUAGGGACCAAGCGUUGUUCGGAUUUACUGGGCGUAAAGGGCGCGUAGGCGGCCCCGCAAGUCACUUGUGAAAUCUCCGGGCUUAACUCGGAACUGCCAAGUGAAACUGCAGGGCUAGAGUGCGGAAGGGGCAAUCGGAAUUCUUGGUGUAGCGGUGAAAUGCGUAGAUAUCAAGAGGAACACCUGAGGUGAAGACGGGUUGCUGGGCCGACACUGACGCUGAGUGCGCGAAAGCCAGGGAGCAAACGGG